rnacentral:rRNA from 1 species
AACGCGAAGAACCUUACCCAGGCUAGAAGUGUAGAGCGCGAUAACAGAGAUGUUAUCUCCCGAAAGGGGUUCUAUAUAGGUGCUGCAUGGCUGUCGUCAGCUCGUGCCGUGAGGUGUUUGGUUAAGUCCAGCAACGAGCGCAACCCUUAUUGUCAGUUGCCAACGCGUAAUGGCGGGGACUCUGGCAAGACUGCCUAGGUUAACUAGGAGGAAGGUGAGGAUGACGUCAAGUCCGCAUGGCCUUUAUGUCUGGGGCAACACACGUGCUACAAUGGUCGGUACAAAAGGCUGCGAAGCCGCGAGGCGGAGCAAAUCCGAAAAAGCCGAUCUCAGUUCAGAUUGGAGUCUGCAACUCGACUCCAUGAAGUUGGAAUUGCUAGUAAUGGCGUGUCAGCUACAGCGCCGUGAAUACGUUCCCGGGCCUUGUACACACCGGUACUA